rnacentral:tRNA from 1 species
GUGAAAGUAAUCUAAGAAAGACUUUCGCUUUGCGUGCGAGAAAUUUGAGCUAAAUUCUCAGCUUUUACA